CAAAAAAAUAAUUUGACAAUACAGAUUAUAAAGGAUGGAAUUUCACAUCAUUUGUUCUGAGAAUUCUAUUAUUUUUUACCUUGAUGAAAUAUCAGAAAUUUGAACUCAAUUAUUUGUACAGAGAUGAUUGCCACAAAAGUAUAUCUAAAGACAGAAGUGGAAAGUAUUUUGAUUAUGGAGCAUUCAAAUAAACGAUGACAUAAUAACAUGAUGAAUAUUAUGUCAGAUAUAUAAUGUUCCUAAAAUAUUAAUAAAUGAAAUAGUAUGUAUAAAUUCAAGUAUGUAUAUGCGAUUGUAUGUGUGGGAAAAUAUAACAAAUUAUCAACAAUGUGUCUUUGAUUAGAGAGUACAGGUGACUUUUUGUUGUUGUUAUUGUUGUUGGAUUUUUGCCAGUUUUCUACAGUGACGUAUAAAAUGUAAUGAGAAAAAAAAAUCCAUGGGGUUUUAGAAAAUAAAGCAUAAAAAUAUUUUAGUUGGCUAUUCUGCACCAUUAAUAGUGUGGCAAAUACAAGAUUUUGAGUCUAAAUGAUAGUUAGAUUGAUGUACCUAGAAAAAUCUUGAGUUUUACUUGCUUAUCGACAAGCUUUAUUAUGAUAUUCUGAAAACCCAGAAAGACAUCUUCACUUAUGUGAUAUUUAGGAAUUUAAAAAUUGAAAGAGUAAAUAUUUCUCGUUUUUGAAGAUCCCAUAAGAAUUAGGCAAUACUCCCAGUGAUUGAAUCAACCUAUUAUCUCUAUAUCUUCUGAAUUUGAAAGGCACCUGUGCCAGAAUAACAAAAACGAAAUUAAACAAACAUACAACAUUGACUAAAUCAAUAAAAGCCACACAGAGGAAAUUACUAUUUCCCAUUAAGUAUUAGAUAUGAUAACAACAGCAGGCAUGAUAGCAACUUAUAUAAAGAUUUACAUUUUGUAAAACAUCUACAAACAGAAGACAGUUGAAUGACAAAUUUAUUCUAAUCACAUUUGCUUCAAAGAGGAUUUUGCUCCAUGUAAGAUACUGAUGCAUGCUGAGAAAUGUUUAUUAACAUUAUAUUUCUUUAUUUUACAGGUCAGGCAAUCAUUUCAUUUCUAUAUUUUUGUAUAAGGAACAGACAAUGACUCUCAACCAAUGCAGCUACAAAGACAAAAGAUGCCCUUCAAUGCAUCCCACAUGGCCCCUCCCCAUGCCAUCUGCCUUGUCAUGUGCAUACCCGUGCUGAGAUAAGACCUCUAUAGGCCUAAGGCACAGAUAAAUUGUUGACACCCACCCCCUUGUCUAUUCAAACACUACGUAAUUCAAAAUCCAAAUAAUGAUAAUUUCUAAAAGCAGAGUUAAGGAAAUUUCAACAUGACCUCAUUUUUUUUUCUCCUGAUCACUACAGCAAUGUGUUUUUUAACAGCAUUAUUUAGGUAAGAUGAACAUACCGUAAAAUAUAUCCAUUGGGAUUGUACGAUUCAGUGGUUUUUAGUAAAUUCAUGCAGCUAUGAAGCCAUCACUACAAUCCAGUUGCAGAAAAUACCAUCUUCUCUGAAAGCUCCCUCAGGCCCGUUUGCAUCAAUCCCUUCUACCAUUCCACCAAUCCCAUCCCUGGUCAAUUACUGAUCAGUUUUCUGUCUCUAAAGAUUUACCUUUUUCAGAAUUUUAUAUAAAUAGAAUCAUGAAGUGUAUGGCUAUUAGUGUCUGUUAAUGUAGUUUUUGCCUUUGUGUUUUGAAAUAAUUACAGAUUCACAGAAAGUUGCACAAGCGUAACAAUGAGGUCUCAUUUAUACUUCACCCUAUCUCUCCUAAUGGCGACAUCUUAUGUAACUAUAGUAACAAUAUCAAAAUCAGGUAUUUGCAUUGGUACAAUGUGUGUAUAUAGUUCUAUGUCAUUUUAUUACAUGUGUUGGAUAACAUGCAUAGAUUUGUAUUACAUGUGUAGACUUUGUCAUUUUGAGAAUGUUAUGUGAAUGAAAUCAUGCAA
rnacentral:lncRNA from 10 species